rnacentral:rRNA from 1 species
AUACGGAGGAUGCAAGCGUUAUCCGGAUUUAUUGGGUUUAAAGGGUGCGUAGGCUGUUCGGAAAGUCAGGGGUGAAAGCCCGGCGCCUAACGCCGGAACUGCCUUUGAUACUUCCGAGCUGGAAUACGGAUGCCGUGGGAGGAAUGAGUAGUGUAGCGGUGAAAUGCAUAGAUAUUACUCAGAACACCGAUUGCGAAGGCAUCUCACGAAUCCGUCAUUGACGCUGAGGCACGAAAGCGUGGGGAUCAAACAGGAUUGGAUACCCUGGUAGUCCACGCAGUAAACGAUGAUGACUAACCGUCGGCGAUACACAGUCGGUGGCCAAGCGAAAGCGAUAAGUCAUCCACCUGGGGAGUACGUUCGCAAGAAUGAAACUCAAAUGAAUUGGCGGGG